GACGUAGGGCGCGAGCGUUGUCCGGAUUUAUUGGGCGUAAAGGGCGCGUAGGCGGCUUAACAAGUCACUUGUGAAAUCUCCGGGCUUAACUCGGAACGGCCAAGUGAAACUGUCAAGCUAGAGUGCAGAAGGGGCAAUCGGAAUUCUUGGUGUAGCGGUGAAAUGCGUAGAUAUCAAGAGGAACACCUGAGGUGAAGACGGGUUGCUGGGCUGACACUGACGCUGAGGCGCGAAAGCCAGGGGAGCAAACGGG
rnacentral:rRNA from 1 species